rnacentral:rRNA from 1 species
AAUGAACGCUGGCGGCAGGCCUAACACAUGCAAGUCGAACGGAUCCUCCGGGAUUAGUGGCGGACGGGUGAGUAACGCGUGGGAACAUACCCUUUGGUACGGAAUAGCCUCGGGAAACUGGGAGUAAUACCGUAUGUGGUCGAGAGACGAAAGAUUUAUCGCCAAAGGAUUGGCCCGCGUUGGAUUAGGUAGUUGGUGGGGUAAUGGCCUACCAAGCCGACGAUCCAUAGCUGGUUUGAGAGGAUGAUCAGCCACACUGGGACUGAGACACGGCACAGACUCCUACGGGAGGCAGCAGUGGGGAAUCUUAGACAAUGGGGGAAACCCUGAUCUAGCCAUGCCGCGUGAUCGAUGAAGGCCUUAGGGUUGUAAAGAUCUUUCAGGUGGGAAGAUAAUGACUGUACCACCAGAAGAAGCCCCGGCUAACUCCGUGCCAGCCGCCGCGGUAA